rnacentral:rRNA from 1 species
UUCCGGUUGAUCCUGCCGGACCUGACUGCUAUCGGAUUGGUACUAAGCCAUGUGAGUCAUUGUAGCAAUACAAGGCAGACGGCUCAGUAACACGUAGUCAAUCUACCCUAUGGACGGGGAUAACCUCGGGAAACUGAGGAUAAAACCCGAUAGAUCAUAGUGCCUGGAAUGGCUUAUGGUCCAAAUGAUUCGUCGCCGUAGGAUGGGACUGCGGCCUAUCAGCUUGUUGGUGAGGUAAUGGCCCACCAAGGCUAUUACAGGUACGGGCUCUGAGAGGAGAAGCCCGGAGAUGGGUACUGAGACACGGACCCAGGCCCUAUGGGGCGCAGCAGGCGAGAAACCUUUGCAAUGUGCGCAAGCACGACAAGGUUAAUCCGAGUGUUUCCUGCUAAAGGAAUCUUUUGUUAGUUCUAAAACCAUUAAUGAAUAAGGGGUGGGCAAGUUCUGGUGUCAGCCGCCGCGGUAAAACCAGCACCUCAAGUGGUCAGGAGGAUUAUUGGGCCUAAAGCAUCCGUAGCCUGUUCUGUAAGUUUCCGGUUAAAUCCAUUAGCUCAACUAAUGGGCCGCCGAAAAUACUGCAAAACUAGGGAGUGGGAGAGGUAGACGGUACUCGGUAGGAAGGGGUAAAAUCCUUUGAUCUAUUGAUGACCACCUGUGGCGAAAGCGGUCUACCAGAACACGUUCGACGGUGAGGGAUGAAAGCUGGGGGAGCAAACCGGAUUAGAUACCCGGGUAGUCCCAGCUGUAAACGAUGCAGACUCGGUGAUGCGCUGGCUUGUGGCCAGU